UACGUAGGGUGCGAGCGUUAAUCGGAAUUACUGGGCGUAAAGCGUGCGCAGGCGGUUUUGUAAGCCAGAUGUGAAAUCCCCGGGCUUAACCUGGGAAUGGCGAUGGUGACUGCAAGGCUAGAGUUUGGCAGAGGGGGGUAGAAUUCCACGUGUAGCAGUGAAAUGCGUAGAGAUGCGGAGGAACACCGAUGGCGAAGGCAGCCCCCUGGGCUGACACUGACGCUCAGGCACGAAAGCGUGGGGAGCAAACAGG
rnacentral:rRNA from 1 species